UAUUCUAUCAUCAAUUCAACAAAAGAACUAAAAAAAAAAAUAAAGAAACAAACUGAAGAUAUUAGGCAAAAUCAAAGAACAAAAUCAAAGAACAGAGACAAAAGUACACUAGAUUGAAUGAAAGAGUCUCAAUCACUCUUCAGAAAGACAUUCUGAGAAAAUUAAGCCCUCUAUGGGGUCUUUUUAGUUCAUAUUUCAGAACUUAAAGUGGAAAUUCUC
rnacentral:lncRNA from 1 species